rnacentral:rRNA from 1 species
UAGGGAAUCUUCCGCAAUGGGCGAAAGCCUGACGGAGCAACGCCGCGUGAGUGAUGAAGGUCUUCGGAUCGUAAAACUCUGUUAUUAGGGAAGAACAAAUGUGUAAGUAACUAUGCACGUCUUGACGGUACCUAAUCAGGAAGCCACGGCUAACUACGUGCCAGCAGCCGCGGUAAUACGUAGGUGGCAAGCGUUAUCCGGAAUUAUUGGGCGUAAAGCGCGCGUAGGCGGUUUUUUAAGUCGGAUGUGAAAGCCCACGGCUCAACCGUGGAGGGUCAUUGGAAACUGGAAAACUUGAGUGCAGAAGAGGAAAGUGGAAUUCCACGUGUAGCAGUGAAAUGCGCAGAGAUAUGGAGGAACACCAGUGGCGAAGGCGACUUUCUGGUCUGUAACUAACGCUGAUGUGCGAAAGCGUGGGGAUCAAACAGG